GGUCAAGUUAUUAAGGGUGCAGGGCGGAUGCCUUGGCACUAGGAGCCGAUGAAGGACGUGAUAAGCUGCGAUAAGCUUCGGGGAGUUGCACGUAAACUUUGAUCCGAAGAUUUCCGAAUGAGGAAACUCACUUAGAGUAAUGUCUAAGUAUCAUUAAGUGAAUACAUAGCUUAAUGAGGGGAACUCAGGGAACUGAAACAUCUAAGUACCUGAAGGAAGAGAAAGAAAUUCGAUUCCGUAAGUAGCGGCGAGCGAACGCGGAUUAGCCCAAACCAAUAAAGUUUUCUUUAUUGGGGUUGCGGACAUAUCAUAACGAAGAGGUAUCGUAAUUGAAGAGGUUUGGAAAGACCCACCACAGAAGGUAAUAGUCCUGUAUGUUAAACGAGAAGACUUCAGAUAUGAUCCAGAGUACCACGGGACACGUGAAACCCUGUGGGAAGCAGGAGGGACCACCCUCCAAGGCUAAAUACUACCUAGUGACCGAUAGCGUAUAGUACCGUGAGGGAAAGGUGAAAAGAACCCCGGGAGGGGAGUGAAAUAGAACCUGAAACCCUGCACUUACAAGCUGUGGAAGCACAUUUCUUGUGUGACCGCGUACUUUUUGUAGAACGGGCCAACGAGUUACGUUAAGUAGCAAGGUUAAGCACUUAAGGUGCGGAGCCGUAGCGAAAGCGAGUUUUAACUGAGCGUUCAGUUACUUGACGUAGACCCGAAACCGGGCGACCUACCCAUGAGCAGGAUGAAGCGAAAGUAAAAUUUCGUGGAGGUCCGAACCCACGAGCGUUGAAAAGCUCGGGGAUGACUUGUGGGUAGCGGUGAAAUUCCAAUCGAGCCCGGAGAUAGCUGGUUCUCCCCGAAAUAGCUUUAGGGCUAGCCUCAAGGUGAGAGAUACGGAGGUAGAGCACUGAAUGUCCUAGGGGGUAUUGCACCUACCGAAGACUAUCAAACUCCGAAUGCCGUCAUCUUAUACUUGGGAGUCAGACUGUGGGUGAUAAGAUUCAUAGUCGAAAGGGCAACAGCCCAGAUCGUCAGCUAAGGUCCCUAAAUGUAAGUUAAGUGGUAAAGGAUGUGGGAUUGCACAGACAACCAGGAUGUUGGCUUAGAAGCAGCCACUCAUUCAAAGAGUGCGUAAUAGCUCACUGGUCGAGUGAUCCUGCGCCGAAGAUUUCCGGGGCUAAAACUUACUACCGAAGCUACGGCAUCAGUAAUGAUGGGUAGGGGAGCUUCCCAUACGGGUUGAAGCAUGACCGUAAGGACAUGUGGACAGUAUGGGAGUGAGAAUGUUGGCAUGAGUAGCGAGAUGUGGGUGAGAAUCCCACAGGCCGUAAACCCAAGGUUUCCAGGGGAAGGUUCGUCCGCCCUGGGUUAGUCGGGACCUAAGCUGAGGCCGAAAGGCGUAGGUGAUGGACAACAGGUUGAUAUUCCUGUACUACCGAUAACCGUUUGAGAGAAGGGAUGACACAGUAGGAUAAGCUAAGCACACUGUUGGUUAUGUGUGCCCAAGCAUUGAGGCAGUCAAAGUAGGCAAAUCCGCUUUGAUAAUGCUGGGAUGUGAUGGGGAGCGAAAUUUAGUAGCGAAGUAGCUGAUUUCACACUGUCAAGAAAAGUCUCUAUCGAGGUUAAAGGUACCCGUACCGCAAACCGACACAGGUGGGUGAGGAGAGUAUCCUAAGGCCAGCGAGAGAACUGUUGUUAAGGAACUCGGCAAAAUGACCCCGUAACUUAGGGAUAAGGGGUGCCACCAUCAGGUGGCCGCAGAGAAUAGGCCCAAGCGACUGUUUACCAAAAACAUAGGUUUCUGCUAAGUCGCAAGACGAUGUAUAGGAGCUGACGCCUGCCCGGUGCUGGAAGGUUAAGGGGAUCUGUUAGAGCAAUCGAAGCAGUGAACUUAAGCCCCAGUAAACGGCGGCCGUAACUAUAACGGUCCUAAGGUAGCGAAAUUCCUUGUCGGGUAAGUUCCGACCCGCACGAAAGGCGUAACGAUUUGGGCACUGUCUCAACAACAGACUCGGUGAAAUUGUAAUUCCGGUGAAGAUGCCGGAUACCUGCGACAGGACGGAAAGACCCCAUGGAGCUUUACUGUAGCUUGACAUUGGGUCUUGGUACUACAUGUACAGGAUAGGUGGGAGGCUUUGAAACCAGGACGCCAGUUUUGGCGGAGCCAUCCUUGGGAUACCACCCUUGUAGUACUGGGACUCUAACCAUAGGCCAUGAAUCUGGUCUUGGGACACUGUCAGGUGGGCAGUUUGACUGGGGCGGUCGCCUCCCAAAAGGUAACGGAGGCGCUCAAAGGUUCUCUCAGUACGGUCGGAAAUCGUACGUAGAGUGUAAAGGCAAAAGAGAGCUUGAUUGCAAGACAUACAGGUCGAGCAAGGAUGAAAAUCGGACUUAGUGAUCCGGUGGUUCUGCGUGGAAGGGCCAUCGCUCAACGGAUAAAAGCUACCCUGGGGAUAACAGGCUUAUCUCCCCCAAGAGUCCACAUCGACGGGGAGGUUUGGCACCUCGAUGUCGGCUCAUCACAUCCUGGGGCUGUAGUAGGUCCCAAGGGUUGGGCUGUUCGCCCAUUAAAGUGGUACGCGAGCUGGGUUCAGAACGUCGUGAGACAGUUCGGUCCCUAUCCGUCGCAGGCGUAGGAAAUUUGAGAAGACCUGUCCUUAGUACGAGAGGACCGGGAUGGACGUACCUCUGGUGUACCAGUUGUCCUGCCAAGGGCAUGGCUGGGUAGCUAUGUACGGAAUGGAUAAGCGCUGAAAGCAUCUAAGCGCGAAGCCAACUUCAAGAUAAGAUUUCCCACCGCAAGGGUAAGACUCCAGAAAGACUAUCUGGUUGAUAGGUCGAAGGUGUAAGUGCAGCAAUGUAUUUAGCUUAUCGAUACUAAUAGGUCGAGGACUUGACCAA
rnacentral:rRNA from 2 species